UACGUAGGGUGCGAGCGUUGUCCGGAAUUAUUGGGCGUAAAGGGCUCGUAGGCGGUCUGUCGCGUCGGUAGUGAAAACUCAGGGCUUAACCCUGAGCCUGCUUCCGAUACGGGCAGACUAGAGGUAUGCAGGGGAGAAUGGAAUUCCUGGUGUAGCGGUGAAAUGCGCAGAUAUCAGGAGGAACACCGGUGGCGAAGGCGGUUCUCUGGGCAUUACCUGACGCUGAGGAGCGAAAGUGUGGGGAGCAAACAGG
rnacentral:rRNA from 1 species